AAACGCGUAAGGUUAAAUUAGUUUAACAUUAUAUUUAAUGCUUAUUUAAAAAGUAGAUUGAUAGGUGCGUUUGAUCCUAUAAUUUUUUAAGUGAUAUGCUUUCGUUGUGUAUAACAAAAAUGUUGAGUUAAUACCAAUUUACAGAAAAUCAUUUGCAUAACUGUACUAUCUACAUAUAUAUCAUAAAAUGAUAUUUUACUCAUGCGUUUGUUGUGAAUUAUUCGAUAUCAACGAUACACUAUUUUUCUAUUAACUGCAAGGGAAUCAUUACUAAUUAAUCCAUCCAACGGAAAGGGUAAUGUCGUCGUUGAAUUUAAAAGAGAUUUCAAUGCCACGUUUAGGUUAUCUAUUAAACAGAAAUACAAGAAGCAAAAGAUUCUAUCAAACAUUUAAAAAGUUGGUUGAAGGACAUUAUGAACAGGUCCAGUUAAUAUAUUGGAGAGUAAAUAUGAAGGAAGCAAUUAAACGAAGUAAUAAGGCAAAAAAAAAUAGUGAUAGGCUGUAAUCACAAGGGAAAGACUUUUUGGAAUGUUUAUAUCUACAGUUAUUAAUUUCUUUGUCAAGUACUCUGAUCAUAGCAAUGUUAAAUAUUUGGAUCCCAAAAAGACACCAUAAUACAAAAAUGUAUUGACAAAAAUAGUAUAAAGUAAAGGAAAUGUUUCUACAAGGAAUAUUUUGGGAAUGCUUCUGUGACCAUUAUUUGUGUUGAGACGCAUAUAUAUCGCACAAAAAUUUUUUACUUUUGCUUAUAUUCACGCACUUUCUUAUAUUAUAAAAUGAGUUGCAGUGAAAUCAAAAUGUAUUCAAAUCUAUCAUUGCGCAAGGUGGUACACUCUUCGAGAAACAGAAGUAUUUUUUAAAGUAGUUGAAUAUGCACCUGUCUUAUGAAAAUUUAGCAUUUAUUAUAGGUUUCUUCUAUCAGGUGCAAAUUUAUUUUGAAAUGAUAUUUUGCUUUGUACAUUGUACUUUAUUGGUCAUUUCAUGUCCAUUGAGCAAUUGACAUCCGGAAAUCUUACGGCAUUUUUGAUGCCAACAUAGGUAGUUCAAAGUACUUAAGUAUGCUAUCAUUGCCAAUGAUGGUGGGAGAAAAGACAUUAAUACAUUAGGAAAACUCUUAAAAGAUCUGAAGAAAGCAUUAUCUACAGUCAAGGACGUGAAUUAUUUAGAAAACGAAUUAAAAGAGAAAAUCCAAAACCAUAAAGGAUCGAGGAAGAAUCGAAUCUUAACAGCAAAAUCAUGGAGAAAGAACAAUGAGUUAAAGGAUCAUUCACAAGACGUUUUUCUUCAGAGUCAUAUUGACAAGACGUUGAAAAGGAGCCGCCUGAAGAAAACAAAGUAUGGAAAUGGAAUAAAGGAUUCAGACCAAAUAAUCUGGAUUUAGACCAUCGAAGAAAAGAGCCUUCAACAAUACGGAACAAGCAACAAGGAUGUUACACAAAAGCGAGCCUCUUGUGAAAGUCAAAUUUAGUAGGUACAAAUGAUACGUCAGCUUACAUACUGCAAUGGAAUAUUCUAAGAUAUACACAUCAAUAAAGAAGUAAGAAGUAACGUUUUAUAUCAAAAAUCAAGCUCGGAAUUGCGACAAAUAGAAACACUGAAUAAAAUAAGCAUUAAAUCACAGUUUUAAGAUAAUCGAAAGGAUGAAACUAUUACAUAUAUGUAAUCUAAUAUUCGAUCACCGAUCUAACGAAAUAAUGAUGAAACGCAGAAUGGUACCAUGAAGAAGGAUAAUCUGCAACAGCAUAGUAAUAACACAAACGCAUUCUAGUAAAAUCACUUGUCAACUGAUUUCUUUUUAAACGUAAUGGUUAGUGAAAUAAUAAUCGAAAAAAAGAAAGUUACUCAAAAUUCACUUUUAGAUUGCAAUUAACAAGUAGGUAAUAUACUUUGAUACGAAUUUUAAAUAAGCCAAACUUUUCAUAAAGCUCAUAUAUUAUACAAUUUCCAAAGAUUAGAAAAUUUCUAAUAGUUUUAGUCUACCAUCAAAAAAUUCUUAGGAUUGAAUUCUUUAGCAUCAAUUAUAUCAAUUACGCUGGAUGAAGGACUUAUAUUAUUUAUAUUAGCUAUAUUCAAAAUUUUAUAAAGCGCUCUUUUGAUCGUUCAAAAAAGUAAUUGUGAAAGAAAGAUAAAGUACGAAUGAAUAUUAUAAAUUCGCCCACACACUUCGACAAGAUUUUUUUCUUGUAAAUAGAAUUGAAUAUAUCAAAUAUAUUCAAUUGAUAUAUAUAUAUAUAUAUAUAUUUAGUCGUUAAUUUAUGGAGUAAAUUUAAUAUUACUAUAAUGUCUGAUAUCGGAAACAAUGUAAUGUUCAUAUCUGUCGCACUGCCUGUGAUUUUAUCGGAUUAAAGCAAAAAUAUUACAUCCGAAAUAUUCGAAAAGUUCUCAAAAAUUUUUCUUCCCUGGAUAUAAUAUAACAUCGGCACCGUUAAUCGAAUGGAUGUUUAAAUUGUUUCAACUAUUGUAUAAACGAACGUCGCUACUAGAAUUAUUACCUUACAUUUGCUAAUUUUCGUUAUAAUACGUGCCUAUCAAUAAAACGUCUAUCGGUUAUAUGUCAUCAUAUAUAAU